CCUACGGGUGGCUGCAGUGAGGAAUAUUGGUCAAUGGACGAGAGUCUGAACCAGCCAAGUAGCGUGAAGGAUGACUGCCCUAUGGGUUGUAAACUUCUUUUAUAAAGGAAUAAAACGAGGCACGUGUGCCUUUUUGCAUGUACUUUAUGAAUAAGGAUCGGCUAACUCCGUGCCAGCAGCCGCGGUAAUACGGAGGAUCCGAGCGUUAUCCGGAUUUAUUGGGUUUAAAGGGAGCGUAGAUGGGUUGUUAAGUCAGUUGUGAAAGUUUGCGGCUCAACCUCUUCGAGCCGUUGAAACUGGUUUUCUUGAGUGAGCGAGAAGUAUGCGGAAUGCGUGGUGUAGCGGUGAAAUGCAUAGAUAUCACGCAGAACUCCGAUUGCGAAGGCAGCAUACCGGCGCUCAACUGACGCUCAUGCACGAAAGUGUGGGUAUCGAACAGGAUUAGAUACCCCUGUAGUC
rnacentral:rRNA from 1 species